GUUCCCUCCCAUUCUACCCUGACCUGGACUCUCGUUCAGUUCCCACCUUAUCUCCAUCUCCCUCACCCACGACACAGGUUGCGCCGCCGCCGUUGUCGCUUCCUUGGGCUUGUAGCUCCUCAUGGCACAGUCUUCAACCACCUUGUAGGAACGUUGAAUCCAUCUCCGCCUAGCCGCCGCUGUCCUCGUUCUCCUGUCUUUCUUGUGGCGUCGGCGAGCUCCAUCCCUAGAUCGGUGGCGCACUACGCCCAUCAAGAAUUCUACGCCAUAUCUGAAGUCGUUGGCGCGGCACGACCAGAUCGACCAUGAUCAAGCAGUUAGCCGGAGGGCGGAAGUUGGGGUUGUUUCAGUUGGGGGUAUGUGUUCUGACCUCGUCAGCUUUGGUUAGCACAUCAGAUAAGGAACGCGGGUUUACCCCACACUGGAGGUUUGUGCUGCUAAUUAUCUGCACUUGAUGCUCUUAUUUAAGAUACUGGUCAGGUAAUCAUCCUGUAUACUGUCAUAACUUUGUAGAUAAAAUUAGGCCUUCCCAAUACUAACAAAGUUGUUGAUGGGUGAAUAAAUCAUUACGAUUAAUCUUUAAGUAUGGUUGUUAUUGCGACUAGAUUCUUCCCUGAUCUUCGUGCAGCAUGUCUCAGUAGCCCCAUCGUCCGUUAUUAGCUACAAACCGUUGUUUCCACUCAGGCAGAUUAAUGGAUGCACGUGUCACGUGUGAAACCGAUUGACAUUCCAAGUGAAGUUGACAGUGAAGGGUAUAUGUUCUCCACAUGCAAAAUUACUACAGUGUGAUGUUUGUUGCUCUCCUUAUUUUUCUAAUCAUUAUGCACUGUCUUUUGAUGCGUCAAAAUUACUAAUAUCCUAUGUACACACUUCAUUGUUGUGCUAGGAAUAGGAUGGAUGUGGUGGUCCACUUGUUGAUUUUGAUGGGAACAUUGUUUGGAAGAAUGACACACAUGAUCAGAAAAUUACUGGAUGUGUACAAACAAAUAAAAUUCGUGGAUAUUUGAGGGAUAUUUGGUUAUGGUGGUUCUCAUAUGAUCGUUUGGGGGAUUCUUGGAGGAUAGAUAUAUCCAUAAUUGUGAUAUUACUAUGAUAUUUGUAUACCGCAUGAUUGUGGACAAUGGUGCACCUGAAGAUGCACAUCCUGGUACAAGGUCGUCUAAGAAACUAGGGAUGUCCAUGGAUAUAUCAGUCCUAAUAUGUCUUAGAUUCAGCAUUUGGCUCAGACAUAUGGAACACAAGACCACUCCAACUAAGUCCAGAUGGUUUAUAAUUGGACUCCACCGAUCAUUACGCAACUCCGGUAUUUCUGCCUUUUCAUUCUGAUCUCAUUUGACAAGUUCUGAGGUGAUUUUCUGCCAUGGAUAGUUUUACCAUUUUUAUAAUAUUUCUUUUGAUAACUACAUCUUCAUACUCAUAUCUAUUACUUGAUUCCACAGACUAUGAAGAAAUAGAUAAUUUUAUAUGUGCGGGUGAUUUCUUUCUGCCAUGAAUUACCAAUUGACACUAUGGAUGAGUUGAUUUGUGGUGUACUAUAUUCUGUACAAUUCAGUACUUUCCUGAUGCAAUCAAAAUGCCUCAAUUGAAUGUAGAGAGGUCUCUGAUGGCAGAUUUAAAUAGUCCAGAUUCAGACCUAGACAUGUGUGAUUCCAUGUAGUAUAUAAUUUUGCACCCAUGCAUACAAUGUCAAAUCUGACCACGUUUUCAUCCACACGUGCAUGUUGAUAAUCCAUAGCAGAAACAAAAAUGGUAUUAAAGAUCGAUUACAUUUUUUUCUCCUUUGUGAACUUGGUGUAUACUAUUUCUUUGUAUAUGUUACUAACAAUAAUCUCACAGGUCAUGGCUACACCAAAUAGAAAUAACUCUCGUGCAGAGAAGAUGUUUCAACUGAUUAAUCAACUACAUAAAAAUGUUGUGUCCUACCUAAUUGAUCUCUAUAUGCCUAUAUCUCCACAAUACAUAAGAAAACCUCCACCAAAGUCCCUUUAUCUGAUAAAUUCAAUUCUCUUCGCUCAAUAUGUUAUUUAACUUGCAGGCCUUUCAUUACUAACAAAUAUAUAUAGUUCUUGAUAAAAAUAUCAUGCAAAUUUACUUUAAUUAAUAAAAAUUGAACUUUCAUGUUUCAUGCUCCAUAUAUUUAUAGAAAUACUCUUACCAUUGUAUUGUCAAAAUAGACGGGCGCGGCAACGCGCGCCAUCAUGAUCUAGUAAUCACGUAUAAUACAUCCACACACCAGGCAACAUAAAAAGUAAAAGAGCGCAAAUGUGAAACGAAAACACAUAGUUCAUUACAUAGCACACAUGCAAAAGCAUAAGUCAUUACAUGUGAGAGGGGGGGGGGGGGGGUUGUCCAUACAUAAGAUAAAAAGAGCAUGAAUAUACACACAAGGAUCAAACUAAAAGCAUAAAAAAGGUCUUCAAAAAGUAGACAUCCAUCCUAUCACUCUUUUGUGAUAAAGCGAAGACACGUAUAUGCCUUCACUUACCAAGGUCAGCAGGCUCAGAUCCUGAAAACGGAUUGGAGUCAAUAGGAUUAUCUUCUGCAUUCUUUAAAUCUCGUGGUGCUGCCGCCAUAUGAUCAGUUGGGGGUGCUGCUGCUUGGUCUUGGGGAGCAUUGUUAACCGUUGGGGCCACUGCUGGUGCUUGAGUUGUCGAAACAACCGUUGGGGGCGGUGUUGGUACUGCAGCUGGAACUGUGGUCGUCAUAAUAAUAUCUGGUCCGGGCGGUGUGGAGCCAAAAUCUAGGCCAAGAGAGCAAGAUGGUGGGGUGAAAUCCCAGUAGGCCCUAUCAGCAACAACAUCUUCUACAUCUGCAAUGAUGCUGAAUUAUUGGGCGGCGACUUGGUCAUCCCCAGGAGCUUGGUCAUCUUCAGCUACAACAGCGGUCAUUGGAGAAGCAAUUCCUUGAACUUGAUGAGCAGAAGUUUCAGCUACGGCAGCGCUCGUUGAAGGAGCAAUUCCUUGAGGUUGAUUAGCAGAAGUUUCAGCUACAACAGCGCUCAUUGGAGGAGCAAUUCCUUUAGGUUGAUCAGCAGAAGUUUCAGCUUCAGUGCCAAUAACAACAUCGGCAAUUUCUUCUACCACUUGAGUAAUAGUGGCUGCUGCCGCGAGCUCAUCCACAGCUCCAAAACCAGCAUCUGGUGAAUUCCUCACAGGGGCAUUAUCUUGCACAACAGCUUUGGAGAACUGACCAUGGGGGAGUCUUCAAAAUCAUCUUUCGCGUCCUUGGGAGCAAAACGAGGAGAAGACCUAGUUGCAACUGCAACUGUAGAAGACCUCUUAACCUUCCUCACAGUAAUCUUGGUUUUCUUGCUGCACACAAAGAAAAAUAAACAUGGACAUCAACAGCUUAUAAAAACAGUAGUUACCAGCUUAUAUUAUCAUUAGUUAUCAGAUUAUAUUUGCAUACAACAACUAAAAAUAACAUUAGUUACCAGCUUAUAUUGACAGAAGUUAACAGCUAAAAAAUAACUUUAGUUACCAGCUUGUAUUCAAAUUAUUUGACAGCUUAG